AUUAAGUCACUUUCUGUCCUUCUCGCUCGAUCAGUCAGCUCUCUCAUCUCGAUCUAGAAACCGCGAAACCUAAAACACCAGCCUCGCUCUCUCCUUUUCACUUAGCUGUCUCAGCUCUCUCCGAUCUCGGUUCUCUUUCAGCCAAUUUCGAUUCGGUUAUUUUCAAUUUGGGGAUGGGGUGCCUUUCAUCAUCGUUCAGUGUUCCGGUUACAUAAAACCCAGACCUCUCUCUCUCUCUCUUUCAGCCUCCUUGAUAGACGACGACGGCGAAACAGUCUCAUCUCGACCUAGAACCCGUGAAACCUAAAACACCAGCCUCUCUCUCUGUCCUUUUCACUUAGCUCUCUCUGAUCUCGGUUCUCUCUCAGCCAAUUUCGAUUCGGUUCUUUUCAAUUUGGGGAAGGGGUGCCUUUCAUCCUCGUUCAGUGUUCCGAUUACUUAAAACCCAGACCUCUCUCUCUCUCUCUCAGCCUCCUUGAUAGACGACGGCGGCGAAACGGCGGCAUUCAAUGACUUUGCUUGGUGUCUCCUUCAAUCCGAAGUCAAUCACUCAGUGAGUCAUCGUCUUCUCUCUCUCAAUCUCUCAUGGACGGUCGCCGGUACUAGCCCUAGCUCUCCCUCUGUUCUCGAAGCUCGACUGCACCAUUGAAGCUUUGUUUUGAGAAAGAUCUAUACCUUCAAAUUCUUCACCCCGAAGCAAUCAAGAGCCAACACAAGAGUUCCCUACAAGAAAGAUUAGUUUGCUAUAUCGACCAUUGGGGCUUGGUUGGUGUGAUUGUAGCAAGAUUAAAGUCUAAUUGAAUUUCUUUCUGGGUUCUAUAUUUGAUCGGUGAAGGAUUAAAGCUUUGUUUAGACGAGGCAAAACAAUUAAAGUCACUCCCAUUAUAGCCCAACAAUUUGAAGCAGGAGGUGAAUGAGAGCUUUCCAUUUGGGCGAUUGCUACCGAGACCCCAGAAUUUCGAAGAUCUGUGUUCGAGGUAGCUGAGAGCUUGGAGCUGGUAAGAAGGAAAUUAAUUGUUGUUUGAUAAAGAGUGAAAGCAUUUCGUGCUUGGGCAUUUAAUUGAAGAAAGGAACCAAGUAUAUUCUUUAGAAAACAAGUUUAAUUCCAAAUUCAAGUAGGCAUAGAGAGAUAUAACACACAACAUCAGAAAUGCUUUGUGGGAGAUUUGGCAUGCUGGUCCUAUAUGGGUUUGAGAAAGCUAAUUAACCAUCAAAAGUGCAGGCAGUCAUAUAUCUUUCUUGCAUCUUUGGUUCUCGGAUUUGCCUGUGUAAUUCAUCAAGUGCAAGAGGCCUCCAAGUACAAGGCCCUUCACUGUCAUCAAAAACAGGAAGUCUUUGUUUGAAGAUUUAGAAGCACAUUACUAAUACAAGUGUUAAGAAGCUUCACAUCUCAGGCAUUGAAAACUUCCAGAAUGCACAGUAUUAGUUGUGUCACCUAUGAAGCCAGAUUCCUCUGCUUCAACAAUUCUGUAGACAUGAGGAAGGCGAAUAUGGAUUUUUUGCAUCCAUGUACUGCUAAUAGAGUAACUGAGCUUCCCGGGUUUAAAGAUGAAGUUCAUAUCAGUGUAUACCCAUCCUCUUCACUCCCUCAUGUUUAUCAGUGGCAUUCCGGAGCAGAUGGGUGAUAAGACUUGUGGAUAUUGGAUUAUGCAUUACAUGAGGGAUAUAGUAGAGGACAAAAACCAAGAGUGGAGUGCUAAGUGGGAAAGAAAAGCAAAUCACUAUUACACAAUGGAGAAUGUUGAUGUUGUCCGGGCAGAGUGGGCAAAGUAUGUUAUGAAGUUCAAAGAUAACUAGUGCAUGUGUAGGUUUAUUAACUAGUGCAUCAACUUUUGGACAUUGAUAGUUGAUAUAUAU